rnacentral:rRNA from 1 species
UACAGAGGUCUCAAGCGUUGUUCGGAUUCAUUGGGCGUAAAGGGUGCGUAGGCGGCGCGGUAAGUCGGGUGUGAAAUCUCGGGGCUUAACUCCGAAACUGCAUUCGAUACUGCCGUGCUUGAGGACUGGAGAGGAGACUGGAAUUUACGGUGUAGCGGUGAAAUGCGUAGAUAUCGAGAGGAACACCAGUGGCGAAGGCGAGUCUCUGGACGACACCUGACACUGAGGCACGAAAGCUAGGGGAGCGAACGGG